rnacentral:tRNA from 1 species
GCACCCGUAGCUCAGUGGAUAGAGCGUCUGCCUCCGGAGCAGAAGGUCGCUGGUUCGAAUCCAGUCGGGUGUACCA